rnacentral:lncRNA from 1 species
CUAUCUUAACUGAAAGAAACUGAGGCUCUGAGGGGAUAAGUGAGUUUCACAUGGUCCCCAAGCUAGUCAGCGACAGACCUCGCUCUUCUGACUCCAGUGCUUGUCCUAUAUCCCACAGCUGUGAACCUUGUAUCCAGGGCCUUGCCUCCAGGGACCCCCACAGCAUGUGCCCUCCUCUCUUCCCAGUGAGCAUCCUUGCCCUCGGGACAUCCUGGAUGAGCUGGUCAUCACACCAGGCAGAGGCUCCCAUGACUCAGCCUCCACCCACUCCACUUAAUCUCCAAGGACUGCUUCAAGGAACAGAGACGAAACUAUUCCAUGGGACUCAGGCAGAGAUGCAGCCCACAUCCAUGGCCCCUUUCCCCACUGAGAAGCGCUCAGCAUUGCUCAGGCCUCUCGGGGACACUUCUUUUCAGGCACUCCUGGAAAACCGAAAAGCCUCCACCAGCCUCUCUCCUGCCACAGAGCCCGCCUCUGGUCCUCACUGGCGCUAUUUCCACCUGGAUGGCAUAAUGUAUGUUCCUCUCAGUGCCAGGAAAGCAGGCUCCUAAUCUCUGAAGAGUUCUACAAAAAUAAACACAGAAGACUUCCUGGUACACACACAGGCAAAAAGUGGUACACUUCACAUAUGGUGCAAAUAGUGGAUAUUUAUGUUUCUGAAAAAUUGUAGGUUCUUUAAAAUAGAUGACAGAGAAAGUGAGCUUGGAAGGGGCUGUGAUACAAAGGUAAUUGUCAAGUUGUCCCUGGAGCUCAGGAAUAGAAGAUGAGUUUCAGCCAGGAGAUUAGGCCCAACCUUGGCAUCCUACACCAGUCCGACAAGAAGGGAGCACUCAUUUAUGCUGGCAGAUCAUGGUGUGCUUCGGUCCCGAUCUUUAAGAAGCCAAUGAUGCAACUGGAGAUCUUGGGUUGUUUUUUAGUUCAGAGUUGAAAGGGGAAAGAAAAGUGUUUCUUGCCCACCAGUGGUGUGUCUGGUGCAGUGAAUGAGAUCCAGUUGCUGCCUCAGGUGCUGCGAUCCCUGGGAGACAAAAACAGAAAGGCCCUCAGGGCGGUAUGGUGGGUGCCAUAACUAGGUGCUGUGCAGGGAGGGCCUCUCUCAAGAGGCAGUGCCCACAGCUCAACCGGGUCUUCUCCAGGCUCUGAGCCUGGAGGACCAUUGCUCUGAAUCAGUCCGGCAGUGUGCGAGCCUCACUGGGAGACGCUGUCUCCUCCUGGGAGUGGGAUAAGGAGGGCUAGCUGCUUGUAUUUGAAAAACAUCCCAGGUGAUUUCACAUGCAGAUGGGGCUUAAGACUACAAUUCUAAUUCAGGCUUUCCUUGGUCUCCUACAGGGGGCAGGGAAAACUGACUAUCCAGGUCAUGGGGUCCAGAGCAAAAGAAAAAUGUGAGAAUCCUUGUUCAAAACUAUUAAGAACUUCAAGACGGUGCCUGCAGCACAUUAGAGCAAGCGCAGGCCCUCCGGAAGGCAGACCCUGUGGCUGCACAGGUUGCAGCCCUACAGAGUUGGCACUUGGCCUCUAGCCACCAGCUCCCUGGCAGCCUCCUCAGAAGGACGCGCAGCUGCGUCCUCAUCCUUGGUGGUUCUUCUGAGUAGGAUCACGAGCUGGCAGCUCAAGGCAGCCAACCUUCCGGUCAGAUGUAGCCUUGGAAGAAUGAAGUCAUCUCCAGAGGAGGAGCCAGGCAGGGGAGACCUUCCCAGCUCUCUGCAUGUCCUGCUCCUUCUCGAAUGAGCUUAUGCUUCUUCAAAGCCCCAUGCUUGCUGUCAUCUCGCUGUGCACCCACAUUCUGGUGACUCUCCCCUGGUCCGCUCUCUGUACCCCAGGAGUUAACCAGGAGAACCAAGUCAGUUGCCCUCCUCCCUGAGAGGUGCUGCUCACUGAAGGGCAAUUCCCAGCUGGCUUUUCCAUCUUACCGAAGGUGAAUUAAAGAGAAGAUGGAUCUCUCCCCAGCCAGCCCAUGCUGUGGAAAUUCCCACUUGGUGGGAGGGAUUUAAACGGUUACAGGGAGCCAGCUCUACUCACGUGUUACUUCACAGUGGUUUCUGGAAAUUGCACUUUUCGCUGUUGUCCAUGACACUGGCUCACCCCCUGGGAAGCUGGUGACAGAGCUGAUGUCCUCUGCUCACCAGCUGUAUUCUGGGAACCUCUAGCUCUGCCUGCACCCAAGCUUUGGCAUCAGAGUCAGGGCUCUGCCAUGGCACAGGAUGUCCUCUCUGAUUUCCUCUUUACAUUUCUAUUUGGUUGGCUUCACACUCUGGAAAGCGGUGCUUCAUAAAGGAUAUUUUUGGGAAGGAAUGAGUGAGUGUGUGUGUGUGUGUGUUCAUGUACACACAUGUAUAAAGGGCAAGAGUAAAGUUUACUUAUCUUUAUUUCCUCCCCAAUUCUAAGCCAGGACCCCACAGCUAAGGCAUUAAUGUGAGACCUAAAAUUUGGCUCCAUCUUAAGAGUGAGGUGGCCUAAGACAUAAACUCCAGUUCCUAGAAAAACCACAAGAUGUACUUUGCCCACCUGCUUGUGAUAAGUGUUCAGCCGUCCCCUGGCAACAGCUACCCCAAUGUCCCAGGUGUAACCUUUUGCAGCUUGGGUGUGCAAGGCACAACCAAUCAGGUUUAAUUGCCAAUCUAGAAUGUUGCUGUAACUACUAUGAAAACCCCUGCUGAUUUGGAGUCAGGGCUCUCAAUUCUGAUCCGCUGCGUCGGUGACGGUUGGGAGUCCCUGCUGGAGCUUGAAUAAACGACCCUCAUGUGCUUACAUCGGAAUCGGCUUCCUGGUGGUCUUUGGGACCUCACGAUCUGGGCACAACAUUAACAAAUGUUUACUGAAUAAAAUCUACUUCUAAAUCA